rnacentral:ncRNA from 2 species
CAAUGCAAUAGAGGUUGCGACAAUCACAAGGUAUUUUGGAGUCCGCGAAGAUGAAGAAGAAUAUCUCAGGGUUGCCGCCGAAAUGGAUUCAAUAUUCGCGUAUUAAUCUGUUGGGCUACAGGAGCAUAUCCUGCAGACUGUCUCGGUUAGUCCCCGAGGAGCGCUAUAAGAUUU